GAUGAACGACAGGGAUCAAAAUAAAUCAGUGGUUUCAGACUCCUCUACCUGUAAAGAUCUGGAAACAUGAAGACCAGUGUUUAUGGUGAACUGGACCCUGGACACUGACUUUGACCAACUCUUCCUCAGCUCGCUCCUCACUGUGUCCAUGGAGGAGGGGAUAUAGACCCAAGGCUGCUGAAGUCAUUUACUUUGUACUAUUGGUGUAUCCGUGAAGUGUUUACGAGUGGUUCGCGAGCUGCCCCUGCUGACCUCUAAACUGAACUGCCGGUUUCCAGAUGACACAGAUGGGACUUGCUCCAAGGAACCUUUCUAAACGGGUCCACCUCCCCUGUAUCCUUUCUUUCCCACUACCUCUGGUGGGUGGGGGUUGAAGGGAGGUUAAAGCAUUUAAGAACUCUCAUUAAAAGGAGACUUUGAAAAAAAUUAAAAUUACGAACCCCUCAAUUAAACUUCAUAGUUCUUCCACACAAAGAUGAAAAAUUUACUGAGCUAGGACACCACACAACCAUGCCUCAGCAGGACAUGCAUGGGGGGCACAAGGUUAGAAGUUCUGUGGGGCUAAGAGCAGAGGGAGCAGAGUUCAUGAAAGGGAAGUUUUCACCCUCCAGAUGGCUGAGAGGGGAACCUGGCUGGGGAGCUUGAGAGGAAAUAAAGAAAUAGGAUCUAGUACUUUCCUUUAUAAGUAAGACUGAUGGGCACAUCUUGCUCGGCUGAUGCAGGGACAUAAGCCAGCAAAAUGGUCUUUCUGGAGCAGAUUAGCUUCGUGAGUACCUAUUCAUCUCCAGGCUAUCGUCUCAGAUGAACCAGACUUGGAAAGAUUGGGUAAAUGGUAUGCAUCCAUCCCGUGUUUGAUUUUGGCUUCAAGUUUGUGUGCAGAGACCACGACAUCAGAACCAUUCUCCUCAUGAUUACUGUAGAAGAAAAGAAAUGCCUUUUCACCUGCUUUCUGUCGCCAUGAAAGAACCAAGACCAAAAACUGCUUAGGGAGAAAAACGUUUACCUCAGCUUAUAAUCGAUGUUCACCACAAAGGGAAGUCAGGAUGGGACCCAGGAGGCAGAAAAGGAAGCAGGAGGGAUGUUGCUUCUUGCUUGCUCCCCAUGACUUGCCUGGCCUGCUUUCUUACACAGCCCAGGGUGAUCUGCCCAAGGGUGAUACCACCAAAAACCCUCUAGGCCCUCUCACCUCAGAAAGUGUGCCCACGGGCUUGCCUGUAGGCAAUCUGAUGGAGACUUUUUCUCAAUUGAGGUUCCUUUUCCCAAAUAAGGAUAGGUUGUGUCAAGUUGGCAAAUAUCCAACCAGGAGAAGGGGUCAACUGAUUUCACACACAGCCAAACUGGAGUCAGAGUAAAGCAGCUCAGUUAUUAGUGAGGAGGAAGAAGUAUGGAGCUCUCACGUAGUUGACCUCGAGGGUCUUUCUCAUUCUUAAUUUGUGAAUCUCAAAUACCAGUUACACGAAACUGAAGUCCUUACCCGAAAAUUGAAAUUUUUCUGAAAAGGAUACUUUGUUUCUUGGGCAUGUUUCCCUGCUGUAGGUAGCCCAGGCUGUCCGGAUGUGCUCUAAGUGGCCCAGUCUGUCUUUAAACUCGUAGCAAUCCUUUGAUCUCAGUUUUUCGUGUGCUGGGAUUGUGGGUAUGCACCACUGUGGUAUGGACUCUGGAACAGAUGGGGUCUACAGGAUCCCGGUCCACUUUGGAGUGGGGGUGAGAUUUCUCUGUGGAUUUACAGCUUUGAGGUGAUACUCAACAAAGCAGCUCUCCUAGAGAAUCUUCAGUAAACAGCCGGUGGGCAUACACUUUAUUCGGGGUGACCAAGGACUGUAUGUGAACCUAGGAGAGUGGGAAGGAGUUUUCAGGGUGAAUGUCAAAAUCAUUGGCAGGAGCUUAAGGUACUGUGAAUGCCUAUUUGUAUAGAGGGGCAUUCCAGGAAGCCCAGGUACUUGCUGGGUGGGUUCUUAUUGGGGAAAGAGGAAAUCGAACCAAGGUUUCCCAAGGGCUUAUGUGAUCUUCCUCAGGUAGAGUGUAUGAGGGGGGUCAGACCGCCCCAGACAAGUCAGAGAAGAGGAAGCUCUGCUGGGAAAAGGUAGUCCUGCAUGCUUUCACAGAGCUCAGUGGGAUGAUCCAGACAUAGUAGACUUUGGCCUUAAGUAACAGGGUUUUCCAACGCAACACCAUGUCCAACUGAAAAAAUGCUUUGUAACAUGGGAUUCUGGAGAGUUUAAAUCGGCUUGACACAAGCUAGAGUUAUCUAAAAAAAAAGACCUUUAGCUGAGAAAAUGUCUUCAUGCUAUCUGACUGUACAACGUUUUCUAAAUUAGUGAUUGAUGUGUGAGGGCCCAUCCCAUUGUGGGCAGUGCCAUCCCUGGGUUGGUGGUCUUGACUUCUAUAAGCAGACAGACUGAGCAAGCCAUGGGAAGCAAGCCAGUAAGCAGCACUUCUCCACGGCCUCUGCAUCAGCUCCUGUCUUCAGUUCCCUGCCCUGCUAGAGUUCCUGUCCUGACUUCCUUCCAUAAUGAAAGUGAUGUGGAAGUGUAAGCCAAAUAAACCCUUUCCUCUCCAACUUGCUUUUUGGUCACAUCAUUUUAGUGUUUCAUCACAGCAAUAGAAACUCUAAAGCAAUGGGAUAAUAUAUAAAAUUAAUGGGCUCAAGAUUCAAAUCAGCAGUAUACUUAUAGGAGACAAUUCAAGAUCAACAAUUACAUACUAAUUAAUAAGUGGUCAGCUGAGCAAUGUGAGAACCCAUUGAAAAGCAGUCUUCUGUGGCUGGGUCUCUAAAUAGCGGUGUUUGCCUAGCAUGUGCAUGGACCUGGGUUUAGUUCCCAGCACUGAAGACAGAACAAAGAACCAAGAUGUCAGCCAGCCCCUCUGGGUCAUAUCUUUCAACCCAGCUGGGAGCGCCAGCCCACACUAUUAUAAGCCACACCGUGUAUUAUUUAGUGUGGGAACACUGUGCAGGGGAGAGAAGGCCACUAGUCAGAAUUAACAUUAGACGUUGCUGAGUGCUUGGUAAAAUGCUGGAGACUCUAGUAUUCCUUGGUUCUCUUGACACAGGAAAUGGGAAGGGCUGAGCUGAGUCUCCAGGACCCUGUGAGGAUCAUUAGAUAAGCAAGCAGUUAGAGCCCUUGUUCCCUGCAUACACCGGAACCAACAAAACCGAACCGUCUCCUCUAGUAAGUUCAGACUUGAGUAAAGAUAGGCCAUUCUAACUCAGUUUCUCUUUUGUAAGAAUAGCAUCUCUGAAUUUAUGUUUUAUUCCUUUCCUGUUUUUUUAAUUAUGAUAAAAUAUGAAUAACAUAAUUUACCAUUGAUGGGGACUUGGGAGUUGAGUCAAGCAUGAGAACUGAGUUUCCAAUUCUUAGCAUCUGUGUAAAAGAGAAGUCAGGCAUGACCUUGAGCAUAAGUAACCCCAUUUGGUAGGGUGGCUGGAGGCAGGAGGAUACCUGCGUUCAUUUGCCAGCCAGUCUCCCUGAAAGUGUGAGCUCUGGGUUCAGAGAGAGGCCCUGUCUUAAAAUGUAAGGUGGAGAGUGAUUGAGAAAGACCUCCCAACAUUGAUCUUUGGCUUCUGUUGGCAUACACCGGGACACACCACUACACACACGUACACACAAAAGCAUACACAGAUACACAGAUACACUGAUUUGCCAUAAAAAUCAUUUUUUAAUAAAAACCAUUUCUUAAAUUCUCUCUCUCUCUCUCCUCUGUGUGUGUGUGUGUGUGUGUGUAUGUGUGUGCAUGGCAUGGGCAUGUGCAUGUACGUGUGUGUGCACGUGUAUGUGUGCAUGUGCCUGUGUGUGCAUGUGUGUGUAUGUGUGCAUGUGCAUGUGUGUGUAUGCGUGCGUGUGUGUGUGUGUGUGUGUGUGUGUGUGUGUGUGUGUGAUACACAUGUGGCGGUCACAGGGAAACCCCGAGUUUUGAUCCUUACCUUCUACCCUGUUUGAGACAGUCUCCUUGGUUAUUUUCCCACUCUGCACAUCAGGCGUCCACUUGCCAUCCGCCCAUGGGAUCACCGGAGUUGCACACACUUGUAAUUUAUAUCCAGCUGUUACAUGGGUUCUUGUGAUUUAAACUGAGAGCCUUGUUGUGUUCGUGCCAAGCGUUUCGGCCAAGGCGCCAACUCCCUAGGCCUCAAGCCAUUUUAAAAUGUGCAGUUUGGUGGAAUCAAUUAAAUAGCCAAGGCUCAAGCCAUGACUUGGAAAACUUCCAUUACCUUAGAUAGAAACUGAUCAUUAAGCAAUAAUUCUCUAUUUUAUGCUGAGAAAAUCCUAAUCUUUCUGUCCUUGUUAAUUUUCAUAGUCUAAAUACUUCACGUUUUUAUGCAAGAGAAAUCAGCACAGAUAUUCGUUUUGUGUCUACUUACUCCUGUAUUUUCAAGGUUCACCCUUGUCAUAGCAUGGAGAGUUCCUUCCUUCAAGGAUAAGUGACCUUCUGCUGUGCAGGUCACCUCGUUGUGCUUGUCCAUUCAUCUGCUGAUAGACAUUGCGUUAUUGUCACCUUUGUCUUGAAUGUUGCUGCUGUGAACACUGACGUACAAGCAGAUAACCGAGUCCCUGUUUUCAGCUUAAAUAAACUUCUACAGGCAAACUGCUGAGCCAGAUAGUAGUUAGGCCUAACUUUGUGAGGGAUGACUGUCUUAGUGACCAAGGCAACUCUUAAAAGAAAAAAAAAGAUUUAUUUAUUUAUUAUAUAUAGGUACACUGUAGCUGUACUUGAGACACACCAGAAGAGGGCAUCCGAUCCCAUUACAGAUGGUCGUGAGCCACCAUGUGGUUACUGGGAAUUGAACUCAGGACCUCUGGAAGGGCAGUCAACGCUCUUAACCACUGAGCCAACUCUCUGGGCCCAAGACAACUUUUAUAAGGACAACUUUUUUAAUGGGGGCUGGCCUACAGGUUCAGAGAUUCAGUUCGUUAUCAUCAAGGCAGGAAGGAAGCAUGGCAGCAUCCAGGCAGGCAGUGCAGGAGGAGCUGAGAGUGCCACAUCUUCAUCUGAAGGCUGCUAGCAGAAUACUGGCUUCCAGGCAGCUAGGAUGAGGGUUUUAAGCUCACACCCACAGUGACACACCUACUCCAACAGGGCCACACCUCCAAAUAGUGCCACUCCCUGGACCAAGCAUAUACAAACCAUGACAAUGACUAAACAUGGGAGCCCCAUUUCACCUUUGAAUCAGCCAUGUCCAGGUUCCAAUUUCCCUGCACAGCCACCGACCAUUGUACAGAAUUAUCCUCUGAGCUAAAGUGCCACCAUCUGUGGGAGUUCAGUUGGACCUGCUUGGAAAAGAACCUUUCAGCUCUGCUUAUUGGCUUUUGAACUUCUUUCAUAAAAAGAUGGGACAGAGAGGGUCAUGGGACCCUCCCCUGAGUAUCUAGGCACCUCUCUCAAAUACUUUUAUACAAUUUUGUCCUGUUUGUGGCCUCUGGGGUCUUGGGGAAGGGCUAUAGUUUAUAGCUGGAGAAGGACUAGAGGAGAGAGUGUUCUCUCUAAGUGGAAAAGACAUCAUUCCAGCUGGGUAAAGGCUUUUAGUGCAGCGUUUACAGGGGGAACCCCAUGCUCCUAUAAGUGGCCCUUCAUCUAUACUAUUGUAAGUAAAAGUCUAAUAAACUUACUGGCACCCCAAAGUGAACUUUGGUAGCAUAUACUUUGGUCAGUUAUGGGGGCCUGUGGUGAUUUGUUACACAGCCUACUCAUACACUUUACAAACUGGUGAAUGUGAGAAUUCCUAAGAGGCCUAGUGGUGCUAGGCAGUGUCUGCCCAGGAUGCUGAGUUAACAGAAUUCUAAAUAGAGUCAUAGCAUUCUGCAAGUGCUAACCUGGGGUUUACAUACAUUAAGCGACUUGGAACACCAGAGCUCAGAAUACAGCUUUGUGCAUGGCUCUGGAAGGAACAGCAUCCGCGGAGGCAAAUGGUUGCCCUGAUGUCAUUCGUAUUUUUCUGAUGAUUUUUGUUUCCUAGUGAAGGUCAGGGUGUUGAAGGCAGUGGGGAGAGAGAGAGAGAGCCUCACAGGGCAAGCAGUGUCCUUUUGAAUUUUUUUUAUUGAUAUGCUGAACGUUUUGAAAAAGAAAAUUUAACACAUCGCAGACAUGCCUAUGCAGGAGGAAGGAGUCAAGCUAAGCCAGCACAUGGGUGCUAGGCAGUGAGGCUCCAUGGUCCCAGAUGUUUGGCAUGCUUCAGUCAAAGGGUGGUUCAGGGCCUGGGGUUGCUCAGGCUUGUCACUCACUUCUUUCCAGCCUGUCGCUGGUCCCAACAUGCUCACGGGGCUGUAGCUUUGUCACUGGCUGGCACCUUCCUCUCCCUGUUCUGACUUUCACUGCAGUUUUAUAUCAUUAACUUUUAUAUAUUCUUUCCUCUUCCAUUGUUUUAUAUGUUUGUGGAUGUUUCCUUUGAACGUUUAAAACAGAAUUAAAUGAUGGCAUCUAAUAAUGUCUAAAUAUCUAUAAGAACUCUCCACACUAUACUCUCCUCUUAAUGCUUUCUGAAAUGCUGGUUCCAGUUUGUUUUUAAGCUCAAAAUUGUUAAUAGUGCAUUAUUCGUUUAGAUUUAUUUCUAUAUGCUUUCCCUUUUUAAUUCUUUGGUGAGAGACAGAAAGUGGGAACAAGCGUGGCACAUGUGUCGGGGUCUGGGGAAACGUACAAGAGUCAGUUUUCUACCUUGGGCAUCCUGGGUCGUCAGGCUAGGCAGCAGGCACCCUUACCUGAUGAACCUUCACACUGGCCCUUACUGUUGCUGUAAAAUUAUAAAAAAGGCUAUCCUUUAGCCCCACUAGGUCCGGCACCGCAGUGCCCCAAGAUAUCUUGCCAGAAACACACAUCCCAACUCCGUGAAGGCUCACACACUCUCACUCUUUUUUUUUUUUUUUUUAGUUUUUUAUUUUUUAUUUUAUUUAUUUAUUUUUAUUAACUUGAGUAUUUCUUAUAUACACUUCUCGUGUUAUUCCCUUUCCCGGUUUCCGGGCAAACAUCCCCCUCCCCCCUCCCCUUCCUUAUGGGUGUUCCCCUCCCCAUCCUCCCCCCAUUGCCGCCCUCCCCCCAACAAUCUAGUUCACUGGGGGUUCAGUCUUAGCAGGACCCAGGGCUUCCCCUUACACUGGCUCACACACUCUCUUAAACUUAAAUUGCUACAUGAAAAAACACACAACACAAUAACCUCUGAUCCAAUUGAUAAGAUAUAAUUGACCACCUAAACAUACAAAGCCCUGUACACAUCCAUCCCUUAAGAACAUUCAUAACAUCACUUCUCGGCCUUUUGGCUAAGAUCAAGUGUAGUAUCUGUUCUUAUCAGUUUAAUAUCUGAUACGUCCUCUAUCCGAGGACAAUAUAUUAAAUGGAUUUUUGGAACUAGGAGUUGGAAUAGGAGCUUGCUCCGUCCACUCCACGCAUCGACCUGGUAUUGCAGUACCUCCAGGAACGGUGCACC